UAGGUGUAGCAAGUGGUUGCUCCAAAAAGAGAGGAAAGUCCGAGCUGCAUUGGGAUAGGAUUCCAUUUAAAGAAUGGCUAGAGCAAUCUAAGGGAAAGCGCAACAGAAAACAAACCGCCACAAUCGUGGCAAGGGUGAAAAGGUAGGGUAAGAGCCUACCGAAAGUGUAGCAAUGCACUUUGACUUUGCAAGCCCAAUCCGCAGCAAGAAAGGUAUGGUUAGUAUCCCAAGUCUCUAAACCUUUUGCUAGAAUUUUGCUGCAAGGCAAAAUCCAGAUAAAUAGCCACAUAAACAGAACUCGGCUUAUCGCUACACCUAAACU
rnacentral:RNase_P_RNA from 1 species